rnacentral:lncRNA from 1 species
UCGCGUCUCUUCCAACUCGUUGGGUAUGACUAAUUGUGGAUCUAGACAUGGACUACAUGUAAUCCGUGACAAUUCUGAAUGGAUUUCCUGGAAAAGUCCCUCGCAACAGAUCAGCAAAGAGUGGAUAUACACCGCUUUGCAACUACCAGUCUGAAUGUUUAUGGCGUCUUAGCAGAGUAGCAGGCGACAUUCGGCUAGUACCGGUGACUCAUAUAUCCAAUGAAACAGCAAACCCCCCGUGCCUCCUUCCAACUCUGCCGUCUGCCUUUGCGAGAAAGGGAGCGCCAUCGCCGUACCAGAUCGGCAUGGCAAGAAAAAAAGCGCCCAAUGGAGGAGGCAGGGCAUGAGCUCCACUCCGUUCUCUGACUUGCCAAGCCGAGUCCGAGUGGGUGGUGACACAAGCGGAUGAGCUUUUGUGCAGGACAGAGAAUGAAGCUUUCAUCCAUCUAUGGUCUAUGGACAUGGAUGCACAGUGACUUGUAAGCACCUUUCAGCGACAAAAUUGCAUUCAUGCAUCGUGUUAAAGGUGGCGUCGGCUGAUGCGCUGAACGGCUUCAGGUUUCCGUCCUGGGGAUUGGGACCAUCGCAUGCGGAAAGUGUCUGACAGAACAUGGUGAUCAUCUUCGCGCCACAGUUUGCACUUUGUUGUCAGCAGUAAUCAUCAGAGAAAUCGAGCUGCGGUAGGUUUCUAAUUCUACCAACGACGGGAAGUAGUUGAUGCCUGUACACAGGAAGGAAGGCAGCGCGCAUUUGUGACUUGUAACGGGCACUGCAUCAUCGUCUGCAUGCAGUGUCCACGAGCGUUUAUCACAACCUGCGGGCUGCGGCGCAAAAGUUUCCGGCGCACCAUGUGGAUCGAAUGGAAAACCUAAAGCAGGCAACUCACGUCGCUGUCUGCCUGCUUAUCCACCAUGUCGCCGUUUAAACAAGCUCGUUUUCUGUCAGUUUGGCAUCCAUACGUCUCCAUCUGUUAUGGCGUCUGCCGAAAUUUUAUCCCAAGGGGCCAAUCACCAGACUUCCUUGCCCUCCUGCAAGUUUGAAAAAAAAAAACCGAAUCAGAUGGUUUGGGAUUUGGGAAUUGGGAGGCGGCGGCGCACGGGGAGGAGGGCGAGGACUUGCCAGGAGCUGGAGGCGCCGCCGGCCGGCCGUUCUCCGUCGUGUGGGCGGCAGUUGCUGGCGAGUCAGAGGCGUGGAGCGUAUGCCGCAAUGCAACGGGAGGCGCCGCCGGCGAGCCGUUGCGGGUCAGCGGGUGGCUGUGGCCGGCGGCCCACAAGCGUGAAGCGGCUUCGUGCGGAGAAGAGGAGGGGAUCGGGCGCGGGAUAUAUAACUUUUUACCAUUAUUAAGUUUAGCACCUCUCCAAAUACCAACUUUA